UACGUAGGGGGCAAGCGUUGUCCGGAUUUAUUGGGCGUAAAGAGCGUGUAGGCGGCCAAAUAGGUCGGUUGUGAAAACUGGAGGCUUAACCUCCAGACGUCGACCGAAACCAUCUGGCUAGAGUCCGGAAGAGGAGAGUGGAAUUCCUGGUGUAGCGGUGAAAUGCGCAGAUAUCAGGAAGAACACCCGUGGCGAAGGCGGCUCUCUGGGACGGUACUGACGCUGAGACGCGAAAGCGUGGGGAGCGAACAGG
rnacentral:rRNA from 2 species